rnacentral:tRNA from 1 species
GCCCCCAUAGCUCAGUUGGUAGAGCAUUCGCCUAGAUAGCGAAAGGCAGUUCAAGCCUAGGUGGUGGCA